UACGUAGGGGGGCAAGCGUUGUCCGGAAUCAUUGGGCGUAAAGCGCGUGUAGGCGGUUCGGUAAGUCUGCUGUGAAAGUCCAGGGCUCAACCCUGGGAUGCCGGUGGAUACUGUCGGACUAGAGUACGGAAGAGGCGAGUGGAAUUCCCGGUGUAGCGGUGAAAUGCCGCAGAUAUCGGGAGGAACACCAAUUGCGAAGGCAGCUCGCUGGGACGUCACUGACGCUG
rnacentral:rRNA from 1 species